rnacentral:misc_RNA from 1 species
UUUUUUUUUUUUUUUUCUUUUUAGAGGUCUUGGUACUGUUUGUGGCCAUGUAGGUUUCAGGUGAUUUUCCUCGUUUGAUCCUUUUUUCUGUCAAGUGUCAGAUCUGUGUUUUCUUGUUGAGUUUAAUCGUCUCCUAGACCCAUUAAGAAAUAUUUCUCUUGGAUAAUUCUACUUCUCUUUAAGGUGAUUUAGCACUUGGAAGAGAACUGCAAAUCCUCAUAGCCUCAUCAUCUCUUUAUCUAUCACCAUCCCUCAAUUUUCUUUUGGGUGGUUUUAUGCUUUAACUGUUUUCUUCUCUCUGGUUAACUUAAACUUGUACAGGAGAAGGAUACCAAGCUUGGCAAGAAUUUCUUACCUAAUUUUUAAUAUAAAAAAACAAGAAACAGUUUUGCUUUGGCAGUACUUUCUUGAUUGUAUGUGUUUCUGUUGAUAUACUCUCUUUAUCCUCUCAUUUCAACCCUCAAUUUGGUUGUGAUAUGAAAAGAUGGAUGUUGUCUUCCUUCUAUGACUCAAAUAUCUUAAUCCAGUUUGAAGAUUCCUCUGUUUUCUUCUACUUAUCUUAUCCUAUCUUCUGAGUGUAUAUUCCUUAACAAAAUUCUACUGGGAAUUCCCCUCUAAUUCUUGUGCCUACUUGUUAUUUUUGUGUCUUCAAAUCUAAUUCUUUCUUCUAUGUUCCUCUUCAAUUAGAGUUUGUAGAUCGCUUACCAGCUUUGAAAAAUUGAGUUGAGAAGAUAAGAAUUAUCCAUUAUGUGUUGAUCUGGUAGUGUCUCCUGUGAUUUUCACCCUGUGCAGUCCCUUAAUGGGGUGUAGAAAGAUAACAUGGUAAAGUGCAUGAAUUGUUACGUCAGAACGGUUCCACCAGUAUUUUUCUUUCUUUGGUUAAAGAUGUUUUGUCAUAUGUCAAGAUUCUCUGAUAUAAAUCCACAUACAUUUAUAACCCACAUGCAUACACAUAUAAGUAUCGCUUUAUUUUUGGACCUGCAGAUAGUUAAUUACAAAGCUUGUUUGCCCAUCCAGGUGGAGACAGUAAUGCUAGGAACAUGGGGAAGAGAGGGAGCUGGUUUUCUACAAUCAAGAAGGUCUUUCUACCCAACUCCAAGGACAAGCUAGCCAAUGAAUCAGAUAGGAAAAGCACAAAAGAAAAGAAGAAGGGCCUAGGAAAAUUAAGGCAUGCUGAUACAAAUACCUUCAUUCCACUGUUUAGAGAACCCAGUAGUGUUGAGAAAAUUUUGGGUGAGGCCGAAAGAGAGCAUAAAUUAAUUUUCAGGCCUUCCACAUCUCCUGAGCAACCAAAAACACCACCUUUUGUGCCUCCCAGAGUUGCUUCUGUAAGGGUUCCUUCUCAAAGAGUUACCUCCCCAAGAUUUGCUUCUCCUAGAGUUUCUUCCCCCAGAGCUGCAUCUCCAAGGGUUGCUUCCCCAAGGGCAGCUUCUCCUAAGAAUGUUCAACGUCAUAAGGAGACAUACUACAGACCAGAACCUACUCUGAGGAACCAUCAUGCGUCAGCUACCAAGAUCCAAGCAGCCUAUAGAGGCUAUGCUGCAAGAAGGAGCUUUAGAGCACUGAAGGGCCUGGUCAGGCUUCAAGGAGUGGUAAGAGGACAGAGUGUGAAACGGCAGACAAUGAAUGCAAUGAAAUGCAUGCAGCUAUUGGUCCGGGUCCAAUCUCAGAUUCAGUCACGGAGGAUCCAGAUGUUAGAAAACCAAGCAUGGCGUCAAGGUCAAUAUAGGAAUGAUAAAGAAGUGGAGAGUACCUUGGGCAAAUGGAGCAUGGCUGUAAGUCCAUUGUGUGAUUCGUGACUGUGUUUCUAUCUGUUAAGCAGCUAAAAAUCUUUGGAACUGUAAUAUGUUAUUUGGUCCAUUACUGGUUCAUCUUGUGCGUUUCAAUCAUUGUGGUCAGCAGUUUGAUUUGGUCUGGAUUCCAAAAAUUAAAGUCAUACCUGCAGAGUUAUUGUUUGGCUUUCCAUUUCAUAGGCGUUGUUUGAGGUCUCCACACCUUGUCUGUAUCACCACUAGGUGUCCAUUUGUUGAUUAUGAAAUGUUUACACUGUGGUCACUUGUUGGGGCUAGCUGAAUUGCCAGAGACAUAAUUACAGGUUAUUGCAAUUGGUGGCUGGAGUUCCAGUGCUAAAAAAAAAGUGUUCUCUCUGGUACUUAUUUAGGUCAGUGGACUUUUAUCACACGUUGAGACUUGAGAAUUAUAUAUGUCUGCUGGAAUCAUUAGCUGCUUGAUAAAAAUGAAAGCAUCAAGUUGCUUUCAACCCAAGACCCAUCUGUGGCAUGAUAGUUAAGAAUUGUACCAAAGCAGAUCCACUGAUUGUUGUUGUCUAAAUCCAGAAAGCAUAAUCUUUAUUGCCAUGUCUGUUAUUUAAUUGUCUUUCCAUAUUUCUAUUAUGAAAAGUAACAAUCAUAAUUGGGGCCAUUGUUAUAGUCUGAGGCAGGUAAUGAAGAUUGGGAUGACAGCUUGCUAACAAAAGAGGAAAUUGAGGCAAGGCUGCAGAGAAAGGUGAAUGCAGCUAUCAAGAGAGAAAGAGCCAUGGCAUAUGCAUAUUCCCACCAGGUAUCUAUAACAGAUGAAUUUAUAAUUUUUUUUUUGUCUCACAUCUACAUGAUUUUUCAAUUUUUCAUGUGUAGAAAAUAAUCUUUAUAGGUAAUUUGUAAUUUUCUAAUGGCAAUAGAAAGGUUGUCAUGAUAUAUUUAGCCUACAGAAAUGAUAAGCUCCCUCGAGCAACUUAUGGCAAGGACAUGUUAUUUGAAGCUUCAUGUCCAUAACCAAUGAGUUGUAAGACACAAUUUUUCAUGGUAUAUGUGCAUAACUCUAAGCACCGCAUGCAACAUUCUCGUAGCUAUCGGCUUAUAGCCUGUAGCUUCCUGGGACGUUGCAACUGGUAUGCUAGAAAAGCCUGCUGUUUCUUCCUUGUCUGAAGAAUCACAAACGGAAUCAAAAUUUGAAUGCACAGAUUCUUUUAGUUCUUUUGCGCUGGUAUUUUAGCAAAUCUAUCUCUGUAAUAUGAUUCUUUAGCUGCUGAUAUGUGUGUAGUGGAUAUUAUGAAGUCUCAUUUGAACAGUUUGAAUGACAUGUAUAUCAUUCCACGGUUUCCAUGAUUUCACCACUCAAUUAGCACAUUUAGGAUGAUUUGGAUCAUAGGAAAAUAGAAUACAUCUUAGUAUUUCCUUCUCUUUGAUGACAGUUAUGGAAAUCAACUCCAAAAUCUGCUCAAUCAACUCUAGCGGACAUUCGAUCCAAUGGGUUUCCAUGGUGGUGGAACUGGUUAGAACGUCAAAUACAUCCAACAAAUCCUCCUGAAAGCCAAGCCAUAAAGAAUUUUCAACUUACACCGCCAAGGCCACAUUCCGAGAUGAAGCCUAGCCCACGGCCAUCAUCAAGCAACCACAAGCAACAGCAUUUUGGGUUUGAUAGUAUGGACACUCCCACACCAAGAUCCAGUAAAUCAGUUGCAUUUGUGUCGGCGAGACAAGCACGGACUCCUGUACACAGAACUCCACAAGCAAACACCUCAAGCUUGUCAAAAUAUUCAAGAGCAAGAGCUAAUGGAGGUGAAUCCCCAUUCGACUUGCCAUUGAAGGACAAUGACAGCCUCACAAGUUGCCCACCCUUUUCGGUACCAAACUACAUGGUUUCUACAGUUUCAGCCAAAGCUAAAGCAAGAGCUAACAGCAAUCCCAAGGAGGGGUUUCCAGGGACCCCAAGCAGUGAAAAAAGGAGGCUUUCAUUCCCUUUGACACAAGGCGUUGGAUCAUUCAAGUGGAACAAAGGGUCCUCAUUCUCUAACAAGGAUUCAAGUUCUCAAAGGGGUUUAGAUAAACAUGAGUCACUUCAAUCCAUAGGAAAUUUGAGUGUGGAUUCAACCGUCUCUAUGCCUGCCACGGUUGGAAGAAAGCCAUUUAACCGAUUUGUGUGAUUUUACUUUUCAUAAAUUUUUAACAAUUUUUUUUUUUCAUACUUUUUGGUGUCAUUUGAUUGAGUGUAUGGUGAUAUUUUGAGUCCUAAAAUACUGAUGUAAUAUAAUAAAGGUAAAAAUAGGAAAUUAUGGUUUGAAUGUAAGAGUUUGUGUUUAUUCUGAUUGCUUUACUCAUUGUUUAUUGCAGGCUGCAACUCUUUCCCU